GACGAACGCUGGCGGCGUGCUUAACACAUGCAAGUCGAACGGAAACGCCCUGCUUUUGUGGGGUGCUCGAGUGGCGAACGGGUGCGUAACACGUGAGUAACCUGCCCUUGACUUUGGGAUAACUUCAGGAAACUGGGGCUAAUACCGGAUAGGAGCUCCUGCUGCAUGGUGGGGGUUGGAAAGUUUCGGCGGUUGGGGAUGGACGCGCGGCUUAUCAGCUUGUUGGUGGGGUAGUGGCUUACCAAGGCUUUGACGGGUAGCCGGCCUGGGAGGGUGACCGGCCACAUUGGGACUGAGAUACGGCGCAGACGCCUACGGGAGGCAGCAGGGGCGAGUAUGGCACAAUGAGCGGAAGCCUGAUGCAGCAGCGCCGCGGGCGGGAUGACGGCCUUCGGGUUGUAAAACGCUUUCGCCUGUGACGAAGCGUGAGUGACGGUAAUGAGUAAAGAAGCACCGGCUAACUACGUG
rnacentral:rRNA from 1 species